GGCUUCAAUGCAGUCCUUUAAUAACAUAAUACUGUCAUUCAGUGUUAAAAGAUUGUUAGAUAGGAUAGUCGAGAUAUGUGGCAUACGGAAGAUUGAUUGUGAUCUAGAUGGUAUUCAUUGGUGAGAAGUUGCUGUUUACGUGGACAGCUUCAAUUGCUAAUUGAUUUUCUCUCAAUUUCUGCUUUGGUAUAUAUAUAUAUAUAUAUAUAUAUA
rnacentral:lncRNA from 1 species